CCGACGAGGAUGCGCUGCGGCGCCGCGCCGUCGCGCUGGACGCCGACGUUCGUCGCCUCCAGGGCUCCGUCGCACCCCUCGACCCCGCCGCGCUCGACAAGGCAGGGGUACUCUCAUAGUCCAGGCCUUGGAAUCAAUGACAAUAACGCCCUCAGACCUGGAGUAUAUGUCAACUUCAAUGUGGAGAAGUUAUGUCCCUAACUUCAGAAAUGCUUAGGACUGGUAGGCAGGGGUACUCUCAUAGUCCAGGCCUUGGAAUCAAUGACAAUAACGCCCUCAGCCUGGAGUAUAUCUCAACUUCAAUGUGGAGAGCAGUGCGCAGGAAUGGAAAGAGGAGAGCAAGAGGAUAUGUUCUAUCAAAACCACCAAUGCUGUCAUGAACAAUGUUUAUAGGUCACUUUACUCGAGAACUAGCUAAGACAGCUGGGCAUGUUCUUGCAAUGGAUUUCAUUGAAAGUGUGAUUAAAAAGAAUGAAAGCAUAAAUGGCCAUUACGAAAAUGCAUCCUUCAUGUGUGCUGAUGUUAUAUGUCCAGACCUGGUGAUUGAGGACAACUCGAUGGAUCUCGUAUUUUCAAUCUGGCUACUGAUGUAUCUUUCAGACGAGGAGGAUGAUCUGAAGCACCGAGAAGAAGUAGAGGACAGGUCAGGAGGAGGGGACAAGAAGCUUCGUUUGUCAUUGAUGUUAUGUGUGAUUAAUAAAAACUUGUGCUUCUCAUCCAAUAUUUGUCGAACUAUGUUGAUGUGUGAUUAUGCACUUGUUGGUCC